CCUACGGGGGGCUGCAGUGGGGAAUAUUGGACAAUGGGGGGAACCCUGAUCCAGCCAUGCCGCGUGUGUGAAGAAGGCCCUCGGGUUGUAAAGCACUUUCAGUGAGGAAGAACGCCUGGUGGUUAAUACCCAUCAGGAAAGACAUCACUCACAGAAGAAGCACCGGCUAACUCCGUGCCAGCAGCCGCGGUAAUACGGAGGGUGCGAGCGUUAAUCGGAAUUACUGGGCGUAAAGCGCGCGUAGGUGGCUUGAUAAGCCGGUUGUGAAAGCCCCGGGCUCAACCUGGGAACGGCAUCCGGAACUGUCAAGCUAGAGUGCAGGAGAGGAAGGUAGAAUUCCCGGUGUAGAGGUGAAAUGCGUAGAGAUCGGGAGGAAUACCAGUGGCGAAGGCGGCCUACUGGACUGACACUGACACUGAGGUGCGAAAGCGUGGGUAGCAAACAGGAUUAGAUACCCGAGUAGUC
rnacentral:rRNA from 1 species